GACGAACGCUGGCGGCGUGCUUAACACAUGCAAGUCGAACGGAAAGGCCCCCACCUUGGUGGGGGUGCUCGAGUGGCGAACGGGUGAGUAACACGUGGGUGAUCUGCCCUGUACUUCGGGAUAAGCUUGGGAAACUGGGUCUAAUACCGGAUAGGACCAUGGUUUAGUGUCUCAUGGUGGAAAAAUUAUUGUUUUGGUGCAGGAUGAGCUCGCGGCCUAUCAGCUUGUUGGUGGGGUAAUGGCCUACCAAGGCGUCGACGGGUAGCCGGCCUGAGAGGGUGGACGGCCACAUUGGGACUGAGAUGCGGCCCAGACUCCUACGGGAGGCAGCAGUGGGGAAUAUUGCACAAUGGGCGCAAGCCUGAUGCAGCGACGCCGCGUGGGGGAUGACGGCCGUCGGGUUGUAAACUCCUUUCGUUAGGGACGAAGCCACACCUUUUUUGGGUGUGGUGACGGUACCUUUGUUAAGAAGCACCGGCUAACUACGUG
rnacentral:rRNA from 1 species